GUUGCAGUUUUUGUUUGUAUACAGAAAGUAUUAAAGACAGUUGGAUAAUUAGUAUUUGAGAGAAAAAGAACAAUGUAGGGAGAGGUAUGGCAGUAAUGAUGAGACUUUCCUUUUUUAAAUUUUGAGACAGUGUCUUAUGUAGCUCAGGCUAGCCUUGUACUCUGUGUUGUUGUUAUACACUCUUACUCCUACCUUAUGUCCCCAGUGCUAGGAUUGGAAGUGUGGGUCACCAUCGUAGCUUGAUCAUAGACUUGUUGCCUUUGGCUUGUUGAGUGUGUAAUGUGUAGGCCUUAAGGCAGCUAUAGGUAGCCAUCCUAAGAAGUUUGAACUUUGUUUUUCGGUAGUGUUCAGAAAUUAGUGAAGAGAUUUAAGUAGGGCACUCAUAUGACAUUUUGCGUUUUGGAUACAAUUCUGAUGGCAACAUGAAUAGGAAAAUCAGAAGAAAUACCAUAGUAGUGGAGGCAGAGUAUGAUGGAGGGACGUGGGAGGAGCAGAUAUAACCAGAGCACUGCACCCAGGGAGAGGAGCUGGCAAGAAGUAAAUUAGUUAUAAAAGACAGAAAAUACCCGAGGAGGAGUGGGAGAGGAACGUGAUCGUGAAUUCAUGGAUGAGAGUGCCAAAGAACUCACAAAAUAAGCAUCUCGAUGAAAGAGAGAUUGUGCAUGAAGCAGCUGAUAUCUGGUUUGUUCAUCUGUGGUAAGGAUAGUGUCACUGACAGACUGAAGGCACAGGGAUGAUUUAGAAAGAGUUUUGAAAGGAAAAUGAGUUUGCUUUUGGACAGCCGAUUUUUACAGUAUCUGUUAAGUACAUGUAAGUCUAAAGCACAGAGUAAGAGACACAGAUUUAAAGUAGAUUUCCGGAUGUCAGGAGAUGCAGGUAAAGCAUGAAAAUGGAAUUUUAUCACAGAAGAAAGGACAGUAAUUGCCCUGAUUUAUAGAGGAUGUAUUCCCUGGUUAGCUUUGAACCUCUGCAUGGUACUGAACCUGGAAGGUGCUGUGCGUGCGUGUGCGCGUGCGUGUGCGUGUGUGUGAUAUAAACCUAUGGAAGUGUCCGAGUUAGGCACAGUGGUUCAGUGGCAGCAAUGGCUAAUAGUAAAGUGGGUUGCUAGAGAAGCACAGUAAUGGAAGCUAUGUAACAUUAGUAUCCUGGGUUUGUUGUUGUUUUUCAUUCAGUGUUUUGACUGUAGUUGACUGUAGAUAACUUCAGGACAUUGGUGGUUUGGUGAUAGUUUUUGUGACUUAUGAGAGAAAAAACUAGCCCAAAAAAGUUAAAGGAAGGAGGGAUGGGAUGGUGGCUCAGCAGUUAUGAACGCUUUCUGUUUUUCUAGAAGACCUGGGUCCAGUUUGUCGUACCCACAAGGCAGCUCAUAACCAUCUCUAACUUCAGUUUCAGGAUACCUGGGGCCCUCUUCUGACCUUUGCAACACUAUACUUAAACAUGUGAUAUACACAUGCAGGUAAAACACUCAUACACAAAAAUAAAAAAUCUUUAAGGCCUAUUGCCUUCUCUAAAGCGUGGCCUCCAUAAAGUACGCAGCUCUCAGACACGGAACCUGAGUUUGAACAUGAGGGGCUGAUACUUGCAGAUGGAGCUGGACAGGGAGAUACAGCAGGAUCCCGGAACUCACUUGUCAGCGUCUAGUCUGAUUGCUGAGCUCUGUGGGCAAAGGAUGUGGAAAGUACCUGGCUGAGGUAGAGUUGGAAGUGGAUUGGAGGGGAACAGCUCUGCUAAAAAGAACAAAGCAAAGGCUUGAUUAGGGAGAGCCUUUGUCUUACAACUCUGCAGGGGUGGACCACUGUGCGCUUUGACGCUUUGAUUGCUUCUUUCAUUAUAGGAUUUAUGACCAGAGGAAAAUUGAUGAGAAUGAGAACAAUGGUGUCCUGAAAAAAUUCUGUCCUCACCACUUGGUGAACAGUGAGUCCAAAGCAAACAUCACCUGUCUUGUGUACAGCCACGACGGCACAGAGCUCCUGGCCAGUUACAAUGAUGAAGACAUUUACCUUUUCAACUCUUCUCACAGUGAUGGGGCCCAGUAUAUUAAGAGAUAUAAAGGUCAUAGAAAUAAUGCUACAGGUCAGUCGCCUUCCUAUGUUUCUGUGACCCAGGUCACAGUGACAGCCCACAUUAUCUAACUUCAUUGUAUAAAUGGGUGCUACCUGAGUAGACUGCCUGUGUCAACUUGGGCAGUGAGAGGGUUGUCCCUAGUUGGGCUGGUAUUUUCUUUUUUUCACUGUGAUUCAGGGAGCGCUCAGUAGCAUCUGCACUGCCGUGAUGUUGCCACCAGUUGGUUUAAGCAUGAAGCUAGACUUGUUUGUUUUCUGCAAUUUCACAUACUGUAGCGUAGGCACAGGGUCCUUUAAGAAAGCCACGGAAAGUUGUGGUGCUGAUGUAGUCCUGUAGGUGCGGGUGAGUUGUCUAGGGGGAGAAGGGAAGGAUCCUUGUGCAUGAAGCAGAGGAGGAGGAACAGUGGUAGUAUCUGGCCUAUUUCCAAUGAAGUUUGGCUUUUGAGUUCUGUGUCUGGUUCUCCAAUGUUGGGGUUCACUAGACUAACCUCCGCCUUUUAAUAAAAGCACUGAUGCCUGCCUCCUCCCACACACAUUGUAUUUAAUCGAUGCUGGAUGCAGCUGGAACAUUGGGAUGUUUGAAAAGUAUCCUAACUGGUUCUAGUGUAGAGAAGGCAAGGAAUUCCUGCACUUUGUUGGUACCACUCCUCUGAGCUGCGUGUCACCAUUUGAUCCUGAAACACUAUUAAAACCUUUACUACUUCUCUUGAACAGGUAAGAAGGAAAGAGGGGCAGGGUUCUGUAUUUGGAUUUCAUUACGUGGUCAAGCAAAAGGAAAAGUGUCAGUCUUGUGGCUGGUAUGUGGCACUGGCUUUAAUAGGUGGACCCCUGUCGUUGACAAAGUCGAAGGACUUGGGUGUUUUUACUUAGUUUGUAGCGAUUUCUUGUUCAUGUGCGUCUGGUGCAUGUGACUGUGCCACAUACCUUUGUCAGUCUCAGAUCAACUUAUGACUGAGUAACAAUAAAAUCCAGCAGUUAAGAGCACUGGCUUUCCUUCCGAAGGACUUGGGUUCUAUUCCCAGCACCCACAUGGCAGCUCAUACCUGUCGGUAAUUCCAGUUCCAGGGAAUCUUGACACCCUCACACAGACAUACAUGCAGGCAGAACACCAAUGUAUAGAAGAUAAAAGUCAUUUUUCAAAGUUAAAAAAAAAUAAAUAAAUAAAAAUACAUACCAAGAAUAAUCUUAGGGCCCAGGGUGGGCAGAACUGAAAUUACAGAUAGGCUAUUAUUUGGAGGUCUAUUCCUGAAAAAGUGUAAUUGAAGCAGACUGUUGCCCAGGGAAGCAGACUGCUGCACUUGGCAAUCCAACAGAGCACUUUAAGAGAGUGCAAAUACUGCCUGGAACUGGUGUGAUUCUAAUAAUUGUCUAUCACACACACUCUCUUGUUUUGUAGCAGUGAAAAGAAUUAUUUGGCAUUCAGCUGACUCAGAGUUACUAAAUUACUAAAUUCUCAGUGAGGUAAAUAAAUACAGGCCCAGUGCCAAAUCUUAUGUGGUUUCUUCCCUCAUUUAUCAUUUCAGUAAAAGGCGUCAAUUUCUAUGGCCCCAAGAGUGAGUUUGUGGUGAGCGGUAGUGACUGUGGUCACAUCUUCCUCUGGGAGAAGUCAUCUUGCCAGAUCAUUCAGUUCAUGGAAGGGGACAAGGGAGGUGUGGUGAGUAUGCUGUGUUAGACUGGCUGUCCCCUAGUUUCUCAGGUCAGUAAGAUAGGUCUUACGUGGGCCACCAAAUUUUCACUGUCACUAUAUGGUACCAUAUUUUAGAGUUCCACAUAGCGAAAGGAAAGGAGUUAUGCCUUGAGAGUGCUGAGAUUUUGAAUGGAAUACUUUAUUCCUUCCUUCGUCCCUUAUAAAGAAUAGUUUAUUGAAAAGAAGAAAGGGUUUUGGAAGAAUUUAUAGCCUGAGCAAAAUUCUUAAGCUUGGGCUUUUUCCAAAAAAGAAAACAUUAGUUUGGGACAAACCUUCUAUACAAUGUCAAAAGAAGAUGUCUUUGGGCCUGGUCCCUUUAAGUAAGGUAAGCAGUGAGCUUGGCUGAUUCCUGGAUCAACAGAUAAAAGCUAGAUGCACAUUUACUUGAGAGAAACAUUUUGAAUAUUUGGGGAGAUACGAGUAAGGUUUGUAAGUUAGAUAACAUGGUAUUCAAUACUAAACUUAUUUAAUGUACUGUUUAAGAGAAUAUUCUUGUACUUAACAGAUGCAUGCUGUAUUUAGGGAUUAAAGUGCCAUGCCUGUUGUUAAGUGGAUACAAGUACAGCUAAUGUACCGGUGUGUGUGUAGAAUGGAAAGCAGAUGUAAUAAUUCAUAUAUUUCUUGGAGAGAACUGCUGAGUAGCCUGCUAGGUAAUAUGGUUACAUUGUUGUCCGCCUGGCCUUUGAGUUUCUCAAGCACACUCUGUAUUAAUGGUCAAGAAAGAAUCACACAAAUCAAGGACUGAGGAAUGAUCUGCUCUCAGGAUAUAUCUCAAUGACCUUAUUUCUUCCCUUCCAGCAUUUGGAGAGAGUUAAACACCAUUUGUUUAAACAAGGGUUUUGAGCCACUGAAGAAAGGGUAGAGAGUUUGGAAGAUUCCUCUUUACUGAUUACCAGUGAAGACAAGGUUACCUGAGUCCUCUAAGAAACGCUGGGGCUGCUUGUCCCCAUCCUUCUCAGUCUUGCAGGCUGGAGCCUCAGCCCAGCUAUGACUCAGUGCUGCUGCUUACCAGAGAGUGGUUUAGAGUUGAAGGUGCUUCCUUGGCAGGCAGGGUCCCAUUUCUUCUUGUUUCCUUGGUCUGCUUCUGAGGAUAUUUGAUACUUAAUUCUGGUUUCCUCUAAAUUGUUUGGACCUAGGACAUAUAGAUUACAUCUUCUAUAGUCUGAAUGUAAGAGGCUCUCUCUCCGCUUCAGUUUCCAUUCCUUCAGAGGUCCCUCCUCUCACCUGUAGGUAACAAGUUCAAAACAUUGGAGUCUUAAUGAAAAGUCUGCAGUACGCACAUAGUAAGUCCAAAAGGACUGGUGAGUCUUUCUUGAUCCUAAACUCUUGUCUUGCACUCUGCUCCAGAAGCAAAGCAUUCUGCUGGCCAGUGUACUUCCAGUUUGGCUGGCACCAGGGUUCGUUGGUUAAUCCAGUGCUAGGUGGGGAAGAGCCUCUACUUGGG
ensembl:lncRNA